rnacentral:rRNA from 1 species
GCCCAGACUCCUACGGGAGGCAGCAGUGAGGAAUAUUGGUCAAUGGACGCAAGUCUGAACCAGCCAUGCCGCGUGCAGGAUGACGGCUCUAUGAGUUGUAAACUGCUUUUGUACGAGGGUAAACCCCGAUACGUGUAUCGGGUUGAAAGUAUCGUACGAAUAAGGAUCGGCUAACUCCGUGCCAGCAGCCGCGGUAAUACGGAGGAUGCGAGCGUUAUCCGGAUUUAUUGGGUUUAAAGGGUGCGUAGGCGGGCCGGAAGGUCAGGGGGAAAAGCCGGGGGCUCAACCCCGGCGAGCCGUUGAAACUGUCGGACUAGAGACGGCGAGAAGUACGCGGAAUGCGCGGUGUAGCGGUGAAAUGCAUAGAUAUCGCGCAGAACUCCGAUUGCGAAGGCAGCGUACCGGCGCCGGACUGACGCUGAGGCACGAAAGCGUGGGUAUCGAACAGGAUUAGAUACCCGUGUAUA